CGCCUCCCAACACCAAAGCGGGGGAACGGCUUCAGGCCGGCGCGGCCCCGGUGCCGCGUACCGCCGCGUCAGCGCCCCGCUCUUCUCUCCGCACGGCCGUCUCUGGGCUGCGCUGCGGCGCCUCUUCGAGGCCGGCGGCCUCUCGGGGCGGAGGGUCAAGGCCCCGCGGCUUCCCCUGGGCUGCUCGCGGGGCCUCCCUCCCCUGGGACACGCUGUGCUCGGCUGAGUUCUCUACGCCUGAAGGAAGGCCCGGACUCGGCUUCCUGCCGCGCCAGGACCUCCUCGGCGGGGCGCCAGCCUCGGCGCCCGUGCCUGGUCCUGUGCUCCCGGGGGCCCGGCUGCCUUCGGCAGCGAGGAGCGGGCUGGAGGACCUGCCGUGCCCGCUGGGGCCUGCCGCGGGGCCGCCUGGCUCCGCUGCUCUGUCAGCUUGCGAAGGGAUUUUAGUUCUACGCUUACGGAUCGAUCCAGCUCACGCCAUUUUUUUCUGUUUUUUUUCCUAAAUAUGAACUUACAUUUCGCCUUGCACUACUUCACUGCUGUACAAGUCCGGUGAGCACAAACAGUGUCAGUGUCUUGACUUUCCAAAAGCAAGGACUGAAUUUUGCAACCGUGGCGAAGAACAAUUGUAUGCCAGCUGUAAAGCAUGGGCUGACUGACAGUCUCUUUAUUUCCUGAUUAUGAAUAAUGGAUACGGCAAAACAGAACGAGCACAGUGGCCUGCCUCAUCUUCACGGGAGACUGUCUUGCUUCGCUUGUCUGGGGCAUGUUGGCCUCCAGCACUUCUCCUGAGCAGAAGUCACUGACUGAGUCACAGCUGGGUGUUGGCUGGCUGAAGGAAAAAAAGAUGCUGAGGAAUGAGGCACCUGGCAAAAGCUUACAAAAAUACCAUAAACAAAAUCUUCUCCAGAUAAUGUUAUAAAAUAAAUAGUUCCCAAAUGCAGCACCUAGGCAUCUCAGCAAUUCUGCACUGCAUUUCACUGGCAGUGAAAUAGUUCACAUUAAUUUUAAUGCAUGAAUUUUAACAUUGGCCUAAAAAAAAAUCCAAUUUUAGGCUGGACGAUUGUGAUUCACAAAAAGUGUGGCAACUUACAAUAGGAUUUGUUUUGUUUAUUAUUUUCUGUUACUACAUUCAGCUUCUUAUCACCAAGUUUCAGAAAAGACUCCCGUCCCAUGCAAACUUGACCUCUAUAAACAGAGGGCUUUCCUGUGCAGUAAGUGAACAAUUUGGCACAAAUAGUAAUAUGCAUGUGGAGAACAUACUCUACUAUGUCUGGUACUCAUCAUCACAAUUUGUUUCUGUGAGUGCUGCCAUUCACUAAGCAGCUAGAACACAGGCGCAGAGGAUAGAGAUUCUAUGCCACAUUCUGCCUUCUGGAGUCUGAUUCUGCAGUUCAGAUAACCAGCACUACAAAAACGAGAAUAAGACCACAGAUCAAAAAUUAUAUUCAGCUACAAAGUAAGUGAAUUUGGGUUAAUCUACUAUAGAUCUCUUACAGAGAUUUUGGAAGCUUGCUUUUAUUUUGCCUUGUUUCUCAGAAAAACUCAUUAGCCCUAAGUUUGCUGUAUUUAGCUAUCACUUCCCCUUAUGCACUAAACCAUUUAUUCUCCAGAAAAUCCAGAGAAUAUUAAAAAAAAUAAAUGAAUCUAUGACCAUACACCAAAACUAAGAGAACCACCACAAAACUUUGGUGGCACAGCACUGGCAUUUAAGGUUUCCUUGCAGAGAUGACAUAAGAUCUUUUUUAUUCUAUUCUACAUAGUCAACUAUCAGUAUUAUACAUCUAAAAAUAUCUAAGGGACAGAUGAAGCAUGUAAUAGUUCAUCAGAAAUGCUUUUUAUGUCUCUGAAACUAUACGCUGCUGUCACUAAUAGCUGGAGUACCAUAUGUGAAAAUGAGUUACUUGUUAAAUACUUAGUUAACUGGAGUCCUGUGUGACAUCUUCAGCAACAGCUCAGAAUGUUGCUAAGCAAAGAGAAGUAUGGAUGAGUCUUAGUAUGUCUUUGAACACUUGGCUGCAUGGACAUACAGUUAAGCUUUAUUUUAUUGACUAUUUUUAAGGAUCAGAGGUUGGAACUCAACAGCAAUUUCAUUAUUACCCUAUACCAAGAGAAAAUUUACUUGGCAAAGUGUGGUCAAGCCACACGGGUUGCGAACGCAGAAAGCAGAGUCUAGCAAUGCACACAGGAUCACAGCUUUUGAGAGGAGCUGAGCAACACUACAUUCAGUGCAUAAGGGUGCAACACUUCUGGCUUCUUUGGCACCACGAUGCAGAGAAGAAUAAGCUAUCUUGCUAUAUGUUCUUUUAUUUAAAGACUGAAAAAUGGGUGUUCAUAUUCUAAGGAUUUUCUCCCUUUACUGUGUUUUCUUGCUUGAAAUUGCAUUGGCCAAGUUUUCCAAUGAAGGAAAACACAGGAAGUUUAUUAGUAGUUUGAAAGGGGUACACACUGAUUUAAAUCACUAUUGGUUAAGAAACGGUAUGCAAUUGCAGAAGAAAGCUUCUGCCUUAUGACCUGCUAAUAAAAUGGAAUUACAUUGCAAGAAGCCAAAGCCAAAAAGGGUGGCACCUAGCAGAGAGAUUAAGGAUGAAGCUUUAGAAGACACUGUAUCAAGCAACCCUGCAGACUGAACCCAGCAAAUCAGAGACUGAGCAGUGCUGGGCUAAACAAGCCCCUUAGAAACGCUGCCUGUUUCACUGGAUUGCCACAGACUUGUAUCAAACUGAACACAACCACAUCCCAGCUGUGCAAUGCCUCUACAUGGUUAUGACUAUGUCCAUUUCAAUGCAGGCAACAGAAAGUUGUUUUCAAAUGAUUACUGCAUACCACAUAUAUUGCAUUCUGUGAUGUAAUAUUUAUGUAUACUCGAUGUUGUGCAUAAGCAGGACCCUUCGUUACACAAAAACAUUUGACUUUGAAGAAACAGUGGAAACAUACAAAAGGAACAAGCAUGCAGGCCACAACCUUCACUGCACAAUAAUUACUGGAUGGAAGUUUGCUGGUGCUUAUAGAAAGAUUGCAAAAAAAAAAAAAAAGCCAACAACCAGUCAGCAAGGAGGCAUGAGGCACAGGAAGCUGUAAUAGUGAAGUGAGACUUGUUCGUGGCUAAGCAUAUGGUUGGCUCUUUAUUUAUGUUUGUCUCUUUAAACAUAAGAACUUGAGAGCCAAGCAAUGCCUAGAAAAGAAGAAUAGAAUUAAAGCCAAAACUACUUUGUGGUCUUUCUUACCUUUUCAGGGAAAAACAAACAAACAAAGAUAGGUACUCAGUAAAUUGACAAGACUGCAUCAAAGAUAUCUGAUACCCAACUGAAACAAGAUUCUAACAUUCAUUAAUAAAAUCUUAAGUAAAUUUACUCACGUGAGCAUUCAGCUUGUUAUUUUAACUGCACAUAAUAAAGCACAGCUUAGGGCAGAGGUAUUUUUACUAUUUAUGUGGAUAAAUUAUCUGCAUGGAUUAAACCCACGCAUAUAAUCCUACUUUGCAGAUUACAGAAAAGCACUGAUAACGUUAACCAUUGGCAGCAGUUCUCUUCAAUGAAUCUUGCUUUUGUUUCUGCAUUCACAGUAUUUAGAUAUGUUCAAAAUGGAGCUCUGCCAUAUGUGGUUACAUGACUUGACCAAGAGACAUCACAAUUAUGGCCCUUGGCAGUCUGACUAAAAAAAAUAUCAGCUCCUGCAGUGAGAUUCCCUAAGAAAUCCAGGAUAAAGCUCUUCUGGCUUUUAAAAGUGUGUAGCACGGUGCUCUUGCAACUUCAGCAUACUUCUUAAAAGCAAAGUAAGAUUUUAUCAGAUUUUAUGAAUGAUAUUUAAAAAAAAAAAUGAGUGUAAGAAAAAAAGUUGGCUGCUGUUACUGCGUGACACAAGUCAAAAAAGUAACCACAUACAGCUAUUGUAGCAGGUAACAUCCUCAGCAAUAGGCUUGGCCACUUUCACAGUCAGCACAAUGCUUGAGUUGUUUAAGUCUCAAGUCUGUGAUUUUUCCAGAACUGUCCAGGAGAAAAACAGAUAAACCUCUGUACCGAGUCAACCGUGAAGGGAAAGAAGUGACUGAAAGAGAGAUCGGUAGCUGACAAACUUCACAUGCUUCUCUUUUGACACAGCCAGUGCUAACUACAGAUUUGACUGCAACGAAAGUGUGGAACAAAACAUCUGGUUCUUCAGGGAAAAUAGAGGGCAUCUCAGCCAUCUUCUCAUAGAUCACGUAUGCCAGCAUUUGGCACAGAAUAGGUAUGGACGUAUAUAACGCAUAUCUCCCUGAUCCCCCUUACUCACCAUUGUGCUGUGCAGAACAGAGGAAGGCCUGCCAUGUGCUCACAGACUUUGGUGCGCCUGGCCAUGACCUGUCUUUCUAGUUUCCGUGCAGCAGCAUACAAACAUUCCUUUCUGUUAUGGAAGUCCUUAGAGUUCCUCUGCUCUUGGGUAAAAUGACUAAGACAAAUCUUAAGUGAAGAAAAUUAGCUUUAUUUAUGUAAAUUAGAAAAAUGAAUUGUUAGAGCUUUGGUCAAAUGGUUAAUUCUGUACAAUUUACAAUUAUAUCUAUAUACAAAACUUUUAAUAAAAUACAGUACAUCACACUUUUCCUGAGUCACAGUGUGUUU
rnacentral:lncRNA from 1 species